GAUGAACGCUGGCGGCGUGCCUAAUACAUGCAAGUCGAACGGAGACAUUGUAGCAAUACGAUGUUCUUAGUGGCGAACGGGUGAGUAAUACAUCGGAACGUGUCCUGAAGUGGGGGAUAACGCAUCGAAAGAUGUGCUAAUACCGCAUAUACUCUGAGGAGGAAAGUAGGGGAUCGAAAGACCUUAUGCUUUUGGAGCGGCCGAUGUCUGAUUAGCUAGUUGGUAAGGUAAUGGCUUACCAAGGCGACGAUCAGUAGUUGGUCUGAGAGGACGGCCAGCCACACUGGGACUGAGACACGGCCCAGACUCCUACGGGAGGCUG
rnacentral:rRNA from 1 species